UCUCUAUUAUAAUUUCAACAAGGAUUCCAAAUAUCUAACUUUUUUUUAUAAUUUUUACUUAUACGAAAUUAGAGAUAUCCUAUCCUAUCCUAUCCUAUCCUAUCCUAUCCUAUAUAAUACUAAGAAAGUCAUUAAGCUAUGUGAGGCCUCCAAAAACCAAAUGGAACAAUUCUACACACUCCCGCUAAAAACAUUCAAAAACAAUCUUAAUCCCUCCAAAAACCGUUUUAAACAACAUUUAUCUGAUAUAAACAAAAACAAAAAACUAAUCUACAAACAAAUAACCACCCACCCACCUUAAAAAAAGCAUGCGGUUAUUUGUUUCUCCUCUCCUUCUUUCUGUGUGAGAAGGGUAUGAUGGGUGACUCGGAAACUACAGAAGCUGUUUUGAAAGAUGCUGUGAAUUUUCAAGGGAACAGAUCAAGCUCUUAGCUGUCAACUUGUGGGAGUGCAAAUGUUUUGGAGAGAUUGAGGGUCGGCAUAGAUUUGGAGCCUACUUGAGAAAUAUGCAAUACGGAGUACGUACCUCUUAUUCCAACUCCCAGAAAGACAAACAAGGCUUGCAAUCGGUACGGGUUCGAUACCCGAAUUCGUGUCACGUCGGGUCGACACGAGUAUGAGCCAAAAAGUGGCGUGUCGAAGUAACACAACAUAGGAGUAUCUUGAUAAAUGAUAGGUAUAUAUGUGAAGUCUUAUGGAACAGACAUAUUAUGGCUUGUGCAUGUUCCUAUUCUCACUGUUUUCAUUUGAUUUGAUUACAUAUACAUUAUUGUCCUUGAAAAUAGUUGGCCUUUUAUUUCUAUCAUCUAUUUGAUUUGAUUACAUAUACAUUAUUGGUUCCUCCAGUAAAUACGUUG